rnacentral:lncRNA from 1 species
CAGAUUCUGCACUAGAAAUUCCUCCCAGUCGAGGGCUUUUUUUCCCUCCUGUGAAAAAUAAACCAGAAGAAAGGAGAAGAUGUAUUUUUGUAAUUUAGUUUCAUGAUUUUAAGGACCAAAUCUCAGCUUUAUUUCUCUAGAAUAGGAAAUAGAGAUAUCGUUGUCAUCUUAUGUUUUUUCUCACUUGAUCUGAUCUAUGAUCUGUUGAAACUUGAUCAUCUGUUCUUGCAAGUGAGGUUUUGUUGCUACAUUUCUGAACUUCAAAAUUAGAAAAAUAAUAUCCUGAAGCUUCUAAUACUUACAGUUGAGCUGACUUUAUAUUCUGUUUACACCUACCAUUUUACAUAAAUCUUUAUGCCUUUUAUUUAGAAGACAACAUAAAAAUUAAAAGAGAAAAAAUAUCCCCCAUAUUCAUAAUACCUCUCUAUGGACUAUUCUUUUGUGGGAUAAGGUAGGUGGGAGAAUGGAAGAGUAGCAGACCCAUUAGAAUACAAAACAUAUGCCCUGGAAUACACUUGUGUCAGUGACAAAUGCUGCUUUGCUGUGCUACAUCGAGUACAAGUCCAGUGAUUCAAGUUUGACACACCACACCACGGUGGAUGUGCCUUGUCAUGACACAUCUUCUCAGCAGCACUAGAAGAUACAUCCAAAGUCCUGUGAGCAAGGACACAGCGAGAAGAUGGCUGUCUACAAGCCAGGAAGAGAGUCCUCACCAGAACCAAACCCUGCUGGACUUUGAUCUUGGACUUCCCAGCCUCUAAAACUGUGAAGACAUAAAUUUCUGUUGUUAAACCCA